GCGGAGGGUGCCCGACCGCGGGAAUUCCUAAGGCCACGCGCACCUCCAAGGCCACCGCCGCACACAGCUUCGGAGUGCACAGUGCACACGCCCAGGCACAGGCAGCCGGCCCGAGAAAUUGUGAAUGUCUUGGCUUUGAGUUUAUCUGCGUAUCCUGGCGAAGUUUGGAUGCAGAGAACUUGGAGCUGUUGUUUUCUACCAGACACUAGGAUCCCUGAGAGAGGUGUCAUUCUUUCGCGCUGCACACACCUUCCUCCACGUGGUGAAGAUACAUCGCUCCUGACAGGUAGGAUGGAAACUAUCUUUGGCUCCCAUGAUCAG
rnacentral:lncRNA from 1 species